UACUCUCUUCGUAACUCAACAACUCAAUAGAUGCCUACAUCUCGACUCCUCUCCCACAUUGAAAAAAACUCUUCGCCACUACCAUAAUUGAAAGCAAUGAAUGCCAUCAAUGUAAAUUUCCUAAUUAAAAUAAUUUCCUCCUCUGCCCUCGAGAAAGAAACCUAAUCGACUGAUCGAUCGACAUCCUCAAAAUCAAAGCAUUCUUCACAUGAUUGAAUGCUUCAGUUUCUUUACAUCAACCGUCGCCCCAUUCAUUCAAUUUAAUUAGGAAUUCUGAAGAUUUUCGUCUUUGUUUUUCUCUUCUCAAAACCACCCGUUGCCUUACAUCACGAAUUAGGUCAGUCGAUGAUGAAGACGCGGUUAGUGAUGUCGCAAAUGAAGAUGAAAGCCUUUUAAGAUUGUUACAUUCCAACAAAAAAAUACUAAAAUUUACAACAUUGAAAGUUGAUGCAUCAUUGCAACAAAGCAUUAGAGAAAAAACUAAACCAUCCAAUCGAUUGCAACAAUCAAGAAAUAUGACUAUGGGUUGGGAAGUGCUGAUUAUGUUCUUAUAUUUUUAUUAUUUAGAGGUGGUAAUUUUGACCCUUGUGCUUUUCAGUUGGUUAAAUUGGGCAGUGGAUGAUGGAAAAUAGUGUAUAGUUAAAACACACGGAGCUCCUUUUUUUCUUGGUUUUGCAAUUAUCCUCUAUGUACUACACUGUUUUCAAUCAUUCAACUAUGGAGGCAUCAAUUUUGACCCGUUUACAAAUAGUAUGGCAUAUGGGUCGGGAUUUGGGGUUGCUUUUAUCUCAAACAAGUCAAAAAAGAAAAAUGAGCUAUAUGGGAAAUGAGCUAUAUCUUCACUUGAAAACGGGCAAUCUCCAAGUUGGGUCCAGAGCACCCGACAUGUCAGUGUGCUUUCAACACCUUCGGUUGACAUUAACCAAUCUGCAGAGGAGAAAACAAAAUCUGAAGAACCCGAAUCUUCAAAUGUCAAUGAAUCGAGCUCAUCUCACAAGCAGCUCAUUCAACAUCCAGGGAAUACUUCAGUCGCUGGGAAGAGUUUUAGAGUUUUGAAGAAGAUGCGAUUUAUGCCUUCAUCCUUCUAAUUCUCAUAGAUUGUUGACUGCACUUGUUGACUCACAGCAUAAAAAGGUAGGGUCAAAAAAACUGUCACUGACAUUGACCCUGAGAGGGAGAAGGAGCAAAAGGAGAAGGACGAUGAACAAGAUUAUUACGAUUCUUGGUGUUCUGGUGCUCGACGCCACUUUGAAGAAGACUUGGAAAUGGAAGCUCGGACCGAAAAACGUAUUAUAAAUGCCAAGAAGCAUAAAGCUUCUGGAGGCAGUCUCAAGAGCCAUGAGAUUGAAUCAGAUGAGGAGUCUCCCCAAGAAAGGCAGCUGCCGCAUCUCAUCGUCGAAAGGCACUUGUUUAUGAUAGCGAAGAGUAAAAUAUAUGCGAGUUGGUAAGUAAACGUCAUCUAUUCAAAAAAUUUAUGUUUUAUAUAUUGCAUUAGUAGAGCUCUAAUGAAAUUAUAGUUUGACCGUAUUUAGAUUUUGUAAAAUUCUGAAUUCUAAAUUAUUGUUGGAAUUAUCGGGAUUGAUCUCGGGACUACGUAUUCAUGUGUUGGUAGUGAUUUGCAUAUUAAAGUGAUCCUUAUAA